rnacentral:rRNA from 1 species
GACGAACCACACAAACGUUAUUCGGAAUUACUGGGCUUAAAGGGUGCGUAGGCGGCGCGGAAAGUUGGGUGUGAAAUCCCUCGGCUCAACCGAGGAACUGCGCCCAAAACUACCGUGCUCGAGGGAGAUGGAGGUGAGCGGAACUUAGGGUGGAGCGGUGAAAUGCGUUGAUAUCCUAAGGAACACCCGUGGCGAAAGCGGCUCACGUGGUCUUCUCUGACGCUGAGGCACGAAAGCUAGGGUAGCGAACGGG